GCGUGAUCCUACGUGGUAUUUGUGACGUAAGAAUUUCUAUUGCCUCAAAAAUUUAACCCACAAUCAGUGGUGCAUUUGCCCAUGUGUGGUUAAACGAGGUACUAUAGAUCUGUAAGUUAUAUAGACCUCAAAAAUUUAACCCACACUUGGGGUGCAUAUGCUCACACGAUGGUUUUACGUGAUGCCUCAUUUUUUAUUAUCAUCUUUUGCAAAGAAAAUCAACCCCACUUCGUGGUGCAUUUGUCCACGAUCGUGGUACAAGAGUGUGAACUUAAUUUUUUUUCACUUCAUUGUACCACAUCGCUACAGUCACAGUAGGUACAAACGCAGAAAAUCAACCCCUAUUCGCGGUGCCAUUCGCCACGAUCGUGGUGAAAAUAUGUAUACAUAAUAAUUGUUAGAGAAAUAUUUUUAAUUAUUUUUAUAAUUAAUGAUUUUAUAAUUAUUGAAUAAUAAAUUACAAACUUUUAAUAUUUAUUUGGUUUAAUUAAUUUUUUUUAUAUUAUUUUUAUAUAAUUGUUUAUUGCGAUUUUAUUAUUAUACUUUCGUUUGAUAUUAAAUUUUGUUAAUUUUUUUUACAACGGGUCUGUAAUAUUUAAACUGUCCCUUUUUUGGUGUAAUUUAUCCAAAUUUCUUUAAUUAAUGAUUAAUUAUUUAUAGGCUUUGAUUAAUUAUUUAUAGAAAUUUAAAUGAAAAAAUGCACCCAUGAUGACACACUUUUCCAAGAAAAAUGUUUUUAAGAAACAUGUGGUCCGUGAUCCGCAGUGGAAAAUUUUGUGCAAGAAAUAUUUUUAUGAUAUGCAAUAAAAUGUUUGUUUGCAUGGGUCCCUUUUUUUUUCUCGUGCGUCCUCACUCUAAUACCGUCCAGAGUUCGGUCUAUGGUAUUCAAAGUUUCUCACUCAUCUUUUAGUUUUCUUGAGAUCGUUGGAGUGGUAAGAAUGAGAGGAAGACCAUAGUUUUAUAAAUUAUGUGAUCUAAAAUUAAUUACAAAAAAUUAAGUGGUUCUAUGCAUCUGUAGACAAAUAGAAGCGCCCCAUUUUUUUUAAACUCCAUCGAAUAGUGCCUUGCAUCUCUUUUGAAGACGACCUCUCACUCUCGUCCUUUCCGAUUCAGAAAUUAGCAGUUUCUUGGGCAUUUAGUCGGCAUCCAAAUGGACGUGUGACCAAGCCAGCGAAGUCUCAUCGAUGCCGAGAUGUCCGGUUCUCCGUAAAGGCACUUCAACUCCUUGAUUCGUCCUCAAACGGAACUCAUCAGUUAGUGCAUCGUUCACGGAGCCGUAAUGCCAAAAAACGAGGGAAAUCAUCUAAAUGGAUGGAACCCUUAUCAAUAAAAAAAACGAGGAAAAAAUUAAAUUCUAUUCGAAUCAAAUGACCAGCACGCCAAAAGUUAAGCGAGUUCAAGAAACGUAAAGUUUAUUAGCUGUGAUUGUUUAUGCUGGAUGUCUUUAAGGAGGAGGUGACAUAGUUCGAGUUAUCCCAGAAGACAGAAGUCUCCACACUAACAGUCUUAAAGCAAGGAGAAGAUCUCUUGUGAGUAUUGUAUGUAUUGUAGUGGCAUUUUUUUUAUAAAUUAACUUAAGAAACGAGAAAUAUAUUGAUGGUAUUUUCAGAUAAAAAUUAAAAUCAAAAUAAAGAAUACCCAAGAUUACGUACUUAUAAUGUUUCAAGAAAAUUUCCUAAAUUUAAGGCCCAUUCUAAG